rnacentral:rRNA from 1 species
UACAGAGGUCCCAAGCGUUGUUCGGAUUCACUGGGCGUAAAGGGUGCGUAGGCGGUCGGGUAAGUCUGAUGUGAAAUCUCACAGCUUAACUGUGAAACUGCAUUGGAUACUAUCCGGCUUGAGAGUUGGAGGGGGACUGGAAUUCUUGGUGUAGCAGUGAAAUGCGUAGAUAUCAAGAGGAACACCAGUGGCGAAGGCGAGUCCCUGGACAACUUCUGACGCUGAGGCACGAAAGCUAGGGGAGCAAACAGG